GGGAAGGUGGCUCAGUGGUAGAGCACUUGCCUUGCAUGCAUAAGGCCCUGGGUUUGAUUCCUCAGCUCUA
rnacentral:tRNA from 1 species